rnacentral:rRNA from 1 species
UACGGAGGUGGCAAGCGUUGCUCGGAAUCACUGGGCGUAAAGGGCGCGUAGGCGGGGAGGUAAGUCGGGUGUGAAAUCCCUCGGCCCAACCGAGGAACUGCGCCCGAGACUGCUUCUCUUGAGUCCCGGAGAGGAAGAUGGAAUUCCCGGUGUAGCGGUGAAAUGUGUAGAGAUCGGGAGGAACACCGGUGGCGAAGGCGGUCUCUGGACGGUGACUGACGCUGAGACGCGAAAGCGUGGGUAGCAAACAGG